CCCAACUAUUAAUUCCCUCCCAAAAUUUUGAACUCCCUCUCAAAAUUUGCCCUAACUAUCUUAGAUCUCCGCCAUAGGUUCCCACAAACCCAAAUUUUCCCAAAUUCCCUCUCAAAACGAAAAUGGUGAGACUUACAGACGAUUUGAUAUGGAAAAGCCCUCACUUCUUCAACGCUCUUCGCGAACGUGAACUCGAUCUUCGAGGCAAUAAGAUUCCUGAGAUAGAGAAUUAGGGAUGAGAUCUGUACUGUUAUCUUUCCGAACUGAAUAAUAUGCAUAAUAAUGAUGCCGAAAUUUAGCUAAAAUUUAAACCUAAUGUCAUACAGUAUAUGUUAUGUUCGGCCGGUACCUUACCUGUAUACGUUAAAAGUAACGAACUGCAGUCAUGACAGUCUAACGGACCUUCAACCUCUAUUGCAGUCAUGACAGUCUAAUGAACCGUCUGAGCAAAACAGGUUGGUCCAUCCUGGAGUAAAAAUGACAAUCUUCUAUACAGGAAAAGUUUGAUGAUCACCCGCUAGAAAGGUCGCUUCUUUUUUUUUGCGAUUUGGGUCAUCAGGUGGGCAAAAAGAUGAUCUGCAAUGUGCGGUUGGUUAUCCAGAUUCACCUGAAUGAGUUGUUGUGGUUGCUAACCAAAUGCAAACUCGGUCAUCACGUCAAGUGUGUGGAUACAUGGCUUUUACGGGCUCGACGCAACACGCGGGUCCUCACAACUAGUUUCUUUCGAUUGUUUUUUAGUAUAAAUAAGGUUAAUAAAGGAUGACUUGGAUCAUAGUAAGGUGUUUGUGGGUGGGAUUUCAUUGGAGACUACAGAAGAUACUUUAAAAGACCAUUUUGGAAAAUAUGAAACCUUUGUGGGUUCGGCUAUCGCUGAAGAUUGAGCCAUUGUUAGCUCUGAUUGGUUUGCUUUUGUUUCCUUUGCAGAUGCAUCAGCACUUGAUAAAGUUCUUGUUGACGCACGUAGAAUCCUUGGGAGAACGGUCGUUUGCAUCUAUUCAUCACCAUUCAGAAACCACACUCCCUGUGUUAUCCCACUUGUAUUUGAUGAUGAGAUUUGGAAAGCUUACUAUCCAGGGUACUUGGGUGGAGGAAAAGGGUGGAGUCCAUGGUUCAAGCAUAGUUGUCAAUAGCGGUUGCUAUGGAGUAAUGGUCGCUAUGGCAUAGCGUAGCGUAUAAGUCGAAGGUCGCUACCAAGAGAACAAGGCUACCACCAACCAGGCGUCUUCUUUUGUCAUUCUUCUUUGGUAACUACGAAGAUUGUGAAAGAGGUUCAUAUACGCAAUGAAUUUUCUUGUUUUUUUUUUCAAACAUAUGUUAGUUUUGCGUUUUAGACUCCUUAUGUUAACAUUUUGAAUUUGGAAUAUGUUUCAGAUUAAAUCUAAUA